rnacentral:rRNA from 1 species
UUGACGGAGAGUUUGAUCCUGGCUCAGGACGAACGCUGGCGGCGGGCCUAAUACAUGCAAGUCGAACGCAGUCGACCUUCGGGUCAUAUGACUGAGUGGCGAACGGGUGAGUAACACGUGAGAAACCUGCCCCGAAGACUGGAAUAACCCGAGGAAACUCGGGCUAAUACCGGAUGUCCCCAGAUGGCCGCAUGGCCGACUGAGGAAAUGCUCCGGCGCUUUGGGAGGGUCUCGCGGCCUAUCAGCUUGUUGGUGAGGUAACGGCUCACCAAGGCUUCGACGGGUAGCUGGUCUGAGAGGACGAUCAGCCACACUGGGACUGAGAUACGGCCCAGACUCCUACGGGAGGCAGCAGUAGGGAAUCUUGCGCAAUGGGCGAAAGCCUGACGCAGCCACGCCGCGUGAGUGAUGAAGGCCUUCGGGUCGUAAAGCUCUUUCAGCAGGGACGAAAAUGACGGUACCUGCAGAAGAAGCCCCGGCCAACUACGUGCCAGCAGCCGCGGUAACACGUAGGGGGCAAGCGUUGUCCGGAUUUAUUGGGCGUAAAGGGCUCGUAGGCUGUUCAGUAAGUCAGGUGUGAAAACUCGAGGCUCAACCUCGAGACGCCACUUGAUACUGCUGUGACUAGAGUUCGGUAGAGGAGUGUGGAAUUCCUAGUGUAGCGGUGAAAUGCGCAGAUAUUAGGAGGAACACCAACAGCGAAGGCAGCACUCUGGGCCGAUACUGACGCUGAGGAGCGAAAGCGUGGGGAGCGAACAGGAUUAGAUACCCUGGUAGUCCACGCCGUAAACGGUGGGCACUAGAUGUGGGAUCCAGUCAACGGAUUCCGCGUCGUAGCUAACGCAUUAAGUGCCCCGCCUGGGGAGUACGGCCGCAAGGCUAAAACUCAAAGGAAUUGACGGGGGCCCGCACAAGCGGCGGAGCAUGUUGCUUAAUUCGAGGCAACGCGAAGAACCUUACCUGGGUUUGACAUGUAGGG